AUUGAACGCUGGCGGAAUGCUUUACACAUGCAAGUCGAACGGCAGCACGGGGGCAGCCCUGGUGGCGAGUGGCGAACGGGUGAGUAAUACAUCGGAACGUGCCCGGUCGUGGGGGAUAACGUAGCGAAAGUUACGCUAAUACCGCAUACGAUCUGAGGAUGAAAGCGGGGGACCUUCGGGCCUCGCGCGAUCGGAGCGGCCGAUGUCAGAUUAGGUAGUUGGUGGGGUAAAGGCCUACCAAGCCGACGAUCUGUAGCUGGUCUGAGAGGACGACCAGCCACACUGGGACUGAGACACGGCCCAGACUCCUACGGGAGGCAGCAGUGGGGAAUUUUGGACAAUGGGCGCAAGCCUGAUCCAGCCAUUCCGCGUGCAGGACGAAGGCCUUCGGGUUGUAAACUGCUUUUGUACGGAACGAAAAGGCUCUGGCUAAGACCUGGGGCUCAUGACGGUACCGUAAGAAUAAGCACCGGCUAACUACGU
rnacentral:rRNA from 1 species